UCAGCAAUUCCAAUUUUGCAGGACCUC
rnacentral:piRNA from 1 species